GUGUUUACUUGGCAGUAUACAUACUAAAACUGAAACCACAACACAGUGAUUAGCAUGGUCUCUGGGCCAGGAUGACAUAAAAAUUUGUGUAUUCCAUAUUUAUUUU